rnacentral:rRNA from 1 species
GUGGGGAAUUUUGGACAAUGGGGGCAACCCUGAUCCAGCAAUGCCGCGUGUGUGAAGAAGGCCUUCGGGUUGUAAAGCACUUUUGUCCGGAAAGAAAACCUACCUGUUAAUACCGGGUGGGGAUGACGGUACCGGAAGAAUAAGCACCGGCUAACUACGUGCCAGCAGCCGCGGUAAUACGUAGGGUGCGAGCGUUAAUCGGAAUUACUGGGCGUAAAGCGUGCGCAGGCGGUUGGUUAAGACCGAUGUGAAAUCCCCGGGCUUAACCUGGGAACUGCAUUGGUGACUGGCAGGCUAGAGUAUGGCAGAGGGGGGUAGAAUUCCACGUGUAGCAGUGAAAUGCGUAGAGAUGUGGAGGAAUACCGAUGGCGAAGGCAGCCCCCUGGGCCAAUACUGACGCUCAUGCACGAAAGCGUGGGGAGCAAACAGG